UGGACGAACGCUGGCGGCGUGCUUAACACAUGCAAGUCGAACGGAAAGGCCCUGCUUUUGUGGGGUGCUCGAGUGGCGAACGGGUGAGUAACACGUGAGUAACCUGCCCUUGACUUUGGGAUAACUUCAGGAAACUGGGGCUAAUACCGGAUAGGAGCUCCUGCUGCAUGGUGGGGGUUGGAAAGUUUCGGCGGUUGGGGAUGGACUCGCGGCUUAUCAGCUUGUUGGUGGGGUAGUGGCUUACCAAGGCUUUGACGGGUAGCCGGCCUGAGAGGGUGACCGGCCACAUUGGGACUGAGAUACGGCCCAGACUCCUACGGGAGGCAGCAGUGGGGAAUAUUGCACAAUGGGCGGAAGCCUGAUGCAGCAACGCCGCGUGCGGGAUGACGGCCUUCGGGUUGUAAACCGCUUUCGCCUGUGACGAAGCGUGAGUGACGGUAAUGGGUAAAGAAGCACCGGCUAACUACGUGCCAGCAGCCGCGGUGAUACGUAGGGUGCGAGCGUUGUCCGGAUUUAUUGGGCGUAAAGGGCUCGUAGGUGGUUGAUCGCGUCGGAAGUGUAAUCUUGGGGCUUAACCCUGAGCGUGCUUUCGAUACGGGUUGACUUGAGGAAGGUAGGGGAGAAUGGAAUUCCUGGUGGAGCGGUGGAAUGCGCAGAUAUCAGGAGGAACACCAGUGGCGAAGGCGGUUCUCUGGGCCUUUCCUGACGCUGAGGAGCGAAAGCGUGGGGAGCGAACAGGCUUAGAUACCCUGGUAGUCCACGCUGUAAACGGUGGGUACUAGGUGUGGGGUCCAUUCCACGGGUUCCGUGCCGUAGCUAACGCUUUAAGUACCCCGCCUGGGGAGUACGGCCGCAAGGCUAAAACUCAAAGGAAUUGACGGGGCCCCGCACAAGCGGCGGAGCAUGCGGAUUAAUUCGAUGCAACGCGUAGAACCUUACCUGGGUUUGACAUGGAUCGGGAGUGCUCAGAGAUGGGUGUGCCUCUUUUGGGGUCGGUUCACAGGUGGUGCAUGGCUGUCGUCAGCUCGUGUCGUGAGAUGUUGGGUUAAGUCCCGCAACGAGCGCAACCCUUGUUCACUGUUGCCAGCACGUUAUGGUGGGGACUCAGUGGAGACCGCCGGGGUCAACUCGGAGGAAGGUGGGGAUGACGUCAAGUCAUCAUGCCCCUUAUGUCCAGGGCUUCACGCAUGCUACAAUGGCUGGUACAGAGAGUGGCGAGCCUGUGAGGGUGAGCGAAUCUCGGAAAGCCGGUCUCAGUUCGGAUUGGGGUCUGCAACUCGACCUCAUGAAGUCGGAGUCGCUAGUAAUCGCAGAUCAGCAACGCUGCGGUGAAUACGUUCCCGGGGCUUGUACACACCGCCCGUCAAGUCAUGAAAGUUGGUAACACCCGAAGCCAAUGGCCUAACCGUUGUGGGGGAGCCGUCGAAG
rnacentral:rRNA from 1 species